rnacentral:rRNA from 1 species
GACGAACGCUGGCGGCGUGCCUAAUACAUGCAAGUUGAGCGCUGAAGGCUGGUACUUGUACCAACUGGAUGAGCAGCGAACGGGUGAGUAACGCGUGGGGAAUCUGCCUUUGAGCGGGGGACAACAUUUGGAAACGAAUGCUAAUACCGCAUAAAAACUUUAAACACAAGGUUUAAGUUUGAAAGAUGCAAUUGCAUCACUCAAAGAUGAUCCCGCGUUGUAUUAGCUAGUUGGUGAGGUAAAGGCUCACCAAGGCGAUGAUACAUAGCCGACCUGAGAGGGUGGUCGGCCAAAUUGGGAAUGGGACACGGCCCAAACUCCUACGGGAGGCAGCAGUAGGGAAUCUUCGGCAAUGGACGAAAGUCUGACCGAGCAACGCCGCGUGAGUGAAGAAGGUUUUCGGAUCGUAAAACUCUGUUGGUAGAGAAGAACGUUGGUGAGAGUGGAAAGCUCAUCAAGUGACGGUAACUACCCAGAAAGGGACGGCUAACUACGUG